UGAUUCUUGUAAGGUAAUAAAAUUGAAAUUUUGUCAACUUAUGCAUCUGAAGAUCUUUCAUGUCAAUGUUGUUAACAAUCAUGUUUGAGAACUUCCUGAUGAGACCAAGGCUAAUUAAUGUAUUACAUUAAGACAAAUAUAGACAUAUGAGUCCUCUGAAGGCAAUGGUGUCUGCAAAUAACAGGUGGAACUCAGAUUCUUGGGUG
rnacentral:misc_RNA from 1 species